GACGAACGCUGGCGGCGUGCUUAACACAUGCAAGUCGAACGAAGUGGCGAACGGGUGAGUAACGCGUAAUCAACCUGCCCUUCAGCGGGGGACAACAGUUGGAAACGACUGCUAAUACCGCAUACUGACGGUGGGGAUUGCGUCUGAUUAGCUAGUUGGAGGGUUAACGGCCCACCAAGGCGAUGAUCAGUAGCCGGUCUGAGAGGAUGAACGGCCAAAUUGGGACUGAGACACGGCCCAGACUCCUACGGUAGGCAGCAGUGGGGAAUCUUCCGCAAUGGACGAAAGUCUGACGGAGCAACGCCGCGGGAGUGAUGACGGCCUUCGGGUUGUAAAGCUCUGUUAAUCGGGACGCGGUACCGGAAUAGAAAGCCACGGCUAACUACGUGCCAGCAGCCGCGGUAAUUC
rnacentral:rRNA from 1 species